GUCAUGGCACGCAUCACAGUGGGGCCUUGCCCGGGUCAGCAGGGCCCAGAGAUGGGGUCCUCCGCUGCCUGAGGCGGCCACAUGCCUGCCUGCAAUGUGUUUGUGUGCAUGCGUGCACACCUGUACAUGGGUAAACACAUCUGUGCACGUGUGUGUGCCUUCUCUGGCCAGGCCUGGCUGCCCCAUUCAUGUGUGCACCCAGUUCCUCAUCACUGUCACCCCCGAGGCCCAGGACCAGUAUCAGAGCAUCCACGGGUGUUCCCUAACCUCAGCCCUCCUCGCCCAGGGUGGUGUGGGAUACACAUAAGGAUGGAGGGAAGUGACCACUACUGUUGAAUCUCAGAAUACAAAUGCUACUACUAUUACUUAAUGGGCCUAGGGGAUGCCAAAUUCCAGGGUCCAGAAAGAGCUUGGGAUAAAAUGAAGCUUCAAGAGGUGAACUUUGACCUGGACUCAGUCUGCCUGUGCCAUUCAAACGGAGUCUCAAGUCCCAAGAUAGGGCGUCCAGAUGCCUCAAUGCAGGGACCUCUGAUCGACAGCUGCUCCCCUGUACUCAUUAGCAACCUCACCCACCCUACUCUCAAAGCACACUUGGCCCUCAUAUCCGGGAGCUCUGCAUCUGUGGAUUCAGCAACAGCAGAUGGAAAAUAUUCAGAAAAUAAAUUGCAUGGUUAUGUCUCUA